UAGCGCCUCCCCGGCCGUUCGGGGCCCUGCGUCGCCAUCUGGUGGCCUUGCCGGCAAAACGCGCCCGCAGGGAGGGGACGAAACGGGGCCCGUGGGGAGGGGGGAGGCGGGGUGGCCGCCACGGCCUUCGUCCCCGUCCCAUUACCCCCGGGACGCCCCCAUCCCAUUAGCCCCCCGGGACCCCGGAUCCUGGUCCUGUUGGUCCCGAGGGUUUCUCGUCCGACGAAGCCGCGUUAGGAGGAUUCACGGGACCCGAGCGGGCGUUCGUUUCCGCUGCUGUCGAUUCUCCGGGGCGGACGGAGGGGACCCCGCGGAGACGCAGGAUCGGGCCCCAGCGGCACAGGGCCCGUCUCAUUCUGUCAGCAGAGAGCGGCGGUGCCCAGGGCGCUGGAGCCGCGAGGCCGCUGGGUCCCGGGGUCCCGGGGCCGCCCCGGGAAAGGAGGCUGCGGGGACACGUGGGGCGGGAACGGCCGAAGGCGCCUCAGCUGCUCCUGGGAAAACCAACCCGAAACAAAUCGAAGGACCCCAGGACUGGUCAGGCAGGUCAGGGCCCGGGGGGCGCCCAGGGGAGCAAGGAGGGGCCGGUGCGCACCCCAGGGAGGGCGGGAGGGCGGGUCAGGGCCGGGCCUGGGGGCCGCGGGGACCCAGGACGGGGCCUGGCUCGGGUGAACGUCCGACCUCCCGCCGCCUCCGCGCGGCCUCCCGGGGCCCCAGGCCGGUGCCGCCUCGCAGCGAGGGGCGCGGGGGCUCGGGCGCGGCAGACACGCGGGCGGCGCCCACCCCCGUCCCCCGACCUGCUCGGCUGCCCGCGUGGCGGCCCCAGAAGCCGCUCCCCCGUGGAGGGCCGCUCAGGGCCCCUCCGCACGGACCCGCGGGGCUCAGGGGUCUCGGCUGAACGCACUCGGCGCGGCGGGGGCUGCAGGUCACACUCGCGGGCAGGCGGAACCCCCGCCCCAGCCCCGCGUUUGCCCGUGGCCCGGCCCCGGCACAGGCUGCAUCUCCCGUGACCCCGGCCUCCUUUCCGAGGUCGCGGCCGUUCCUGACCCGGACGCAGCAGGUGCUUCUCCUGACGGCCAGGAAGAGACUCAGGCGCCCCCGACCCGUGCGCACGGGCGCCCCGCGGGCCUGCUGACCCAGGGCUGGGGUCCCGGCCUUGUCUCACUCUGCUGCCUGGAUCCAGGAGUCAGCCCCACCCUAGGACAACCCCGUUUUCCUGGGGGCCCAACAGGACACGGAGGGGAUUCGGAAAAAGAAAGUUACUACCGAAACUCAUGCAAGGAGAAAUGGAUCAACUGAAUAGGCCUGGAUCAAAGAAACUGAAUUAUCUGGGCACAGUGGCACACUUCCAUAGUCCCAGUUACUUCACAGGCCGAGGCGGGAGAAUCACUUGAGCCCAGAAGUUCAAGUCCAGCCUGGACAACAGAGAUACCCCAUUUCUUUAAAAAAAAAAAAAAAAAAGGUGGGGGGAAGAAAUUAAGUAUGUAAAUAAUAAUCUUCCAAACAAGAAAUAAGCAGAUGGUUCCACUGGUGAAUUCUACCAAACAUUUAAGGGGAGAAAUGAUACCAAUUCUCUACAAUUCUUCUAGAAAAUAGAAACAGCAAAAACACUUCCUAACUCACCCUGAGGCCAGCAUUACACUAACAAAACCAAAACUAGAUAAAGACAGAAAAAAGGAAGAUGCAUAUCAGUGUCUCUCGUGAGCAUCAAUGCAAAACCUUGAAAUAAUGUUAACAAAUCGAAUGCAACAAUGUUUAAAAGGAGUCAUACAUAACUACCAAGGGGAUUUACUCCAGGUGUGCAAGCCUGGCUCAACAUUUGAAAAUCAAUUAAUGUCAUCCAUUUCAUUAAUGGGUUUCUGCAUCAGUUGAUAAGAUCCUGUGAUUUUCUUUGCUUCAUCCCCAGAUGAAGGAUCAGUUGCUGCAGAAAAAGCAGCAGAUGCAAUUCAGUACUCAUUUAUGAUUAAAACUCUCAAAAAACUAGAAAUAAAAGAAAAUUUCUUCAACUUGAUAAAGGUCAUCUACCAAAAAAUGUGCAACCAACAUCGCACUUAAUGGUGAGGCUGUAGAUACUGUCUCCUGAGAUAAAGAGGAAGGCAAGGCCAUCCCUCUCACCGUUCCUAAUCGGCAUUGCACUGGAAACCCAGGUCGAUGACAUAAUACAGGAAAAGGAAUCAAAUGUAUAUAGGUUGGGAAGGAAGAAGUAAAACUGUCUUUGUUCACAGAUGACUAUCUGUGUAGGAAAUCCCAAGUAAUUAACUGAAAACUCCUGGAACUAGUAAGUCAUUAUAAGGAGACUGCAGGAUACAAAGUUAAUACACAAAAGUCAGUUGCUUCCUGUGUGCUAGCAAUGAACAAUGGGAAUUCAGCAUUUAAAACUCAAUGCAAAUGACUUACUAUAGCUUGCCUUGAGAAAAAAAACAUUUAAAUAAAAACGCAAUGCAUGUACGUUAGCACAAUAAAAGUGAAGUACCCAGGUAGAAAUGUAACAAAAUAUGUACAGGAACUACAUGAGAACAGCUACAAAACUGAUGAAAGAAGCCGAAGAUCUAAAUAAAUGGUGAGAUCGUUGGUGCUGGCUGACAGAAAUUUAAUAUGGUUAGGAUAUCAGUUCUUCCCAACUUGAUCUAUAGAUUGAAUACAAUCCAAAUCAAAAUUCCAGCAAGUUGUUUUCUGGCUAUUGAGAAACCGAUUCCAAAGUUUAUGUGAAAACUCAAACACUCAGAAUAGCCGACACCAUACUAAAAAAUAAAUAACAGAGAACUGACUUACUGUAAAGCUAUAGUAAUCAAAACAGCCUGGCAUCAACAAAAGAACAGACAAACAGAUCAAUGUAACAGAACUGGGAGCCCAGAAAUAGGUCCAUGCAAAUAUAGCCAACUGAUCUUUGAGAAAAGAAUAAAGGAAAUUCAAUAAAGAAUGAUCAUCUUUUCCACAAAUUGUGGUGGAAAAAUUGGACAUCCAUAUACAGAAAAGUGAAUCUAGACACAGACUUUACACCUAUCACAAAACUUAACAUGGAUCACAGAUGUAAAUGUAAAAUGCAAAACUAUAGAACUGGAUGACAACACGCAAGGCGAUUUAGGUGAGCUUGGAUUUAGCAAUGAGAUUUUUAUAUACAUCAUGAACUUCCAUGAAAGAAAACUAGUUGGCCUUUAUAAAAAUUAAAAAUUUGGUUCUGCGAAGCACGCUGUUAAGACAA